CCUUAGCUGACAGUCUUAUCUGUGCCUGUGCCUGUUCACGUUUGACAGAUUUUUCAUCUUAAAGUCCAAAGGGUUAGGAUUUCAUCCUCUACACUCUGUUUUUCUUUAAAGUUUCUGCCUGUCAUUCUCUAGAUUCUCAGAUGUUUUAGCACUCUCUCAUUUUUAAGAAUUAACUUUAUUUCAAGCAGUUUUUUAAAAACUGCUUUUAUCAUUUAAAUGAUAAAAAAACUUUUUUAUCAUUUACUAUGUUGAGAAUUACUGUAACUAGCCUGUACAUUCAAUUCCAUUUAACAGAUUUUUAUUGCAGAUUUACCAUGCAUGAGCUUCUAUUCUUAGACACUGUUGGGAGUAGGAUAUGUAAAAUACAGUCAUGACCUCAGAGACAUCAUGCUAUAGAAGUGAAGUAAGAUGAGAUCAUAAACAACCAUCAUUCAAAAUAGGGAAAGAUGAGUGGUGUAGCAGAGCCAAGGACCGGGGAGGGGGGGCACAUCUGAACAGGGGAAAUGGCAUGUAAGACAGAUCUCCACAGAUGGGUAGGACUUGGUGAGUGGUGAAUUGGAGCAUUGUUGGAAGAGUUUUGAAUGCCAAGGUAAAGAGUUUACUUAUAAUUCGGGAAGCAACACGGACGUGCUGAAGGCCGCUAAGCUGAAAAGUGACAUAAUUCUAUCCAUGCUUUAAGCUAAUUAAUCUGGUAGCAUUAGGAAGGAUGGGUUAGGUAGAGAAAAGAAAUUUGGAGAGAGCGGUUGGGAGAGUUUUAUAGUAGAGAUGAGAAAUACUGAUGGCUUAAACUAAUUGGAAACUAAACAAACUAGUUGGCACUGUUGGAAAUAGAAAAGAAGGGGCAAGUAUAAGAACCGUUUCAGAGGUAGACUGUAUGAAGUUAGCAGUGGUUUGGAGAGGCAGCUCAGAGUGGUGGUUAGAAGCAGGGACUCUGGAGCAAAUCCCAAAUUCUGCCACUUCCUGCUGUGUGACAUUUUAAGUUUCUUAAGGUCUUUUUGUGCCUUGGUUUCCCAGGUGUGUAAUGGAAAUAAUAAUAGGAUGCUGUGAAAAUUAAAUUAGUUAAUAUUUGUGAAAUACUAUAUGCCUGGCACAUAGUAAGUGCUGUGUAAAUGCUUGUUAGAUAAAGAAAUAAAUAAAUGUUGGGGAGGAAGGGACAACAUAAUUUAGAGAUGACUGUUUUUGAGCCUGGGCCUGAGAAUAUAGGGGUGGCAUUAACUCAGUUGCAUAGGAGGAAGAUGUGGAUCUUGAUCCAAGGAGAGAGGCUGGGGCUAGAGAUUUGGGAAUUAUCCAUGUAGAGGUUGAGAAGAAUGGUUGGUUAGUAUGCUCUAUUGACAUUCCUAUCCACUUCUAUGAGUAACUGACUUUGUUCAAAGUAAAAAUAAGGGCAGAAGACUUUUACUUUUAUAUUUCUUUGGCAGUUUUACAAGAUUUACAGGAGUAUAAUAAAAUUUUGCAUCUACAGAGUAUGUUUUUAAAAAGGAAAUUAAAUCUUAAUUUUAGUAGGUAAAUGGUAUAUUUUGUUAUACAUGCUUUAUAUAUAAAAUGUGAGUAUUGAUACAGAUAUGAGUAAAAUAAUUUACGAAUAUAGUUCCGGACACUUGAGUUAGAGUAUCUUUGAACACUUGGAAAUCUUCAAAGUUGAGUGGUAUUGCUUUCAAGACAGAGAAAGGAGAGAAAAUGAAAAACAUGUAAGAUGCCAUGGAACCCUUUCCUUCUUGCAAAUACCACUAGACAAAAGGAUAGGAAGCUGGAAAGCCCCCAGGGCCAGCAGGCUUUCCCUGCCAAGUCUAUUCUUCUUGAACAUUACACAAGUGAGGGAGUGGUGAGGGGUUACAUAAACAGCUGUUCCUGAGCACGUGCAUAUGUUAUUGUACACGAUAUCCUUUCAUGUCUAGACUAUGAGCAAAUUCCCUAGGAUAUCUCAAAUUUUAUUUAAUUUGGCUUAGAUUUCAGAUACAUAACAUGGCUCUUAUGUUCAAUAACUUUUUAAAUUACUAAGCACUGUUUGAUAACUUUUUAAAUUACCAAGCACUCUGUGUCCUUUUUACUUGAUGCAUUGACCCAAGUCUCAAUGGAAGCUACUUAGUGUAACUGAAAAUGCAUCUACUUCAAAUGGAGUCUUCGGUGCUCAGUCACAUGCUUGCCUGAGAACCUUUUGCAUGCCGAGCAACAGGCUCCCUCCCCUCAGAGAUUUCACAUUUUGAGUUUUAGUGUUGAACUUGUUAAAAAAUGGAUUUCGGUUUUUAUGGAUAUUAAUGUGCCUAAAGUAAAGCCUUCUCACUUUAAUUCUUCUGAUGUUCUAAUUUUUUUUAAAGAAGUGGCAAAUCACUUGUUUCUUGAUAUAGUAGCAAGAAAUUGAAAAAAUAACAUGAUUCAGUUAAUACAAAGUUAACAUGAGCCGUGGAAUCAUGCAGACCUCGGGUUCCACACCAAGCUGAAUGAGUUCGGGCAAGUCAGCAUCUUUGACCUCCUGUGCCUGUAAAUACAAAGUGGGAACAGCAAUACGUACUUUGUUAGAUGGCUACCAAGAUAAAAUUAGUUAACCUGUACCAGGAGUUCAGUUAGGCAAAUAGAGCACUUAUGUGCCAGGCACAGUCCUAGCCACUGUGGCUUCAGAAGUAAACAGGAAACAGUCCCUCCUCUUAAGAAGUUCAUAGUCUAGAUCUCUAACGGGUGGAUUUGACAGCAUGAUGUCUCACAGGAAGUUCUCUGCUCCCAGACAUGGGUCCCUCAGCUUCCUGCCUCGGAAGCACAGCAGCAGGCAUCGUGGGAAGGUGAAGAGCUUCCCCAAGGAUGACCCUUCCAAGUCGGUCCACCUCACAGCCUUCCUGGGAUACAAGGCUGGCAUGACCCAUAUCGUGCAGGAGGUCAAUAGGCCAGGAUCCAAGGUGAACAAAAGGAGGUGGUGGAGGCUGUGACCAUUGUGGAGAUGCCACCCGUGGUGGUUGUGGGCAUUGUGGGCUACAUGGAAACCCCUCGAGGCCUCCGGACCUUCAAGACUGUCAUCGCCGAGCACAUCAGCAAUGAGUGCAAAAGGUAUUUCUAUAAGAACUGGCAUAAAUCUAAGAAGAAGUCCUUCACUAAGUACUGCAAGAAAUGGCAGGAUGAGGAUGGCAAGAAGCAGCUGGAGAAGGACUUAAGCAGCGUGAAGAAAUACUGCCAAGUCAUCUGCAUCAUUGCCCACACCCAGAUGCACCUGCUUCCUCUGUGCCAGAAAAAGGCCCACCUGAUGGAGAUCCAGGUGAAUGGAGGCACCGUGUCCGAGAAGCUGGACUGGGCCCGUGAGAGGCUGGAGCAGCAGGUACCUAUGAACCAAGUGUUUGGGCAGGACAAGAUGAUUGACGUCAUCGGGGUGACCAAGGGCAAAGGCUACAAAGGGGUCACCAGUCAUUGGCACACCAAGAAGCUGCACCACAAGACCCACCGAGGCCUGCGCAAGGUGGCCUGUAUUGGGGCAUGACAUCCUGUCCGUGUGGCCUUCUCUGUAGCAUGUGCUUGGCAGAAAGGCUACCAUCACCGCACUGAAAUCAACAAGAUCUAUAAGAUCGGCCAGGGCUACCUUACCAAGGACGGCAAGCUGAUCAAGAACAAUGCCUCCACCAACUAUGACCUGUCUGACAAGAGCAUCAACCCUCUGGGGGGCUUUGUCCACUAUGGUGAAGUAACCAAUGACUUUGUUAUGCUGAAAGGCUGUGUGGUGGGAACCAAGAAGCAAGUGCUUACCUUCCACAAGUCCUUCCUGGUGCAGACCAAGCGGCGGGCUCUGGAGAAGAUUGACCUUAAGUUCAUUGACAGCAGCUCCAAGUUUGGCUAUGACCGCUUCCAGACCAUGGAGGAGAAGAAAGCAUUCACGGGACCACUCAAGAAAGACCGAAUUGCAAAGGAAGAAGGAGCUUAAUGCCAGGAACAGAUUUUGCAGCUGGUGGGGUCUCAAUAAAAGUUUUUUCCAUUG